rnacentral:rRNA from 1 species
UACGAAGGGGGCUAGCGUUGCUCGGAAUCACUGGGCGUAAAGCGCACGUAGGCGGACUCUUAAGUCGGUGGUGAAAUCCUGGAGCUCAACUCCAGAACUGCCUUCGAUACUGGGAGUCUCGAGUCCGGGAGAGGUGAGUGGAACUGCGAGUGUAGAGGUGAAAUUCGUAGAUAUUCGCAAGAACACCAGUGGCGAAGGCGGCUCACUGGACCGGAACUGACGCUGAGGCGCGAAAGCGUGGGGAGCAAACAGG